AUGGUGAAGCUAAUAGAGAAAAAAUUAAAUAAGGAUUCUAAAUUCAGAGUGGAAGAAUUAGAUCAAGCAUGGAAGAAAAGUAUUCCAUGUGAAUAUAAUUUAAAAAACUCUUCAGAGGACUCCGCGCCUGCGCUCGGCUGGCUUGGUGCGGCUGCAGCCGGGAACGGAUUGGAUUCUGUCUGCCCAUUUGAGGAGCGCGAGUGGGUGGGUUCGUGCGGGACCCCGUGGGGCCAGUGGUACCAGACCCUGGAGGAGGUGUUCAUUGAAGUUCAGGUGCCACCAGGCACUCGCGCCCAGGAUAUCCAGUGUGGCCUGCGGAGCAAGCAUGUGGCCCUGGCGGUGGGUGGCCGCGAGAUCCUCAAGGGCAAACUCUUUGAUUCUACAAUAGCUGAUGAGGGAACAUGGACUUUGGAGGAUAGAAAAAUGGUUCGUAUUGUUCUUACAAAGACAAAGAGAGAUGCGGCAAAUUGUUGGACUUCUCUUCUAGAAUCUGAAUAUGCAGCUGAUCCUUGGGUCCAAGACCAAAUGCAGAGAAAGCUUACAUUAGAGAGAGUCCAGAAAGAAAAUCCUGGUUUUGACUUCAGUGGAGCAGAAAUCUCAGGAAACUACACUAAAGGUGGACCAGAUUUCUCAAAUCUUGAGAAAUAACCACUGGGGUUUUUUUUUGUUGUUGUUUGUUUUGCUGCAUUCUGUGGAUCCUAGCAGAUAUUGCCAACUUAAUCAAAGGAACAGAUUUAUGUGGUGGAAGAAAAAUGUGGAUGCCUACAGUUAACAAAUUGCAAAAUAUAUUUUAAAAUGGUUCU